rnacentral:rRNA from 1 species
GACGAACGCUGGCGGCGUGCUUAACACAUGCAAGUCGAACGGAAAGGCCCUGCUUUUGUGGGGUGCUCGAGUGGCGAACGGGUGAGUAACACGUGAGUAACCUGCCCUUGACUUUGGUAUAACUUCAGGAAACUGGGGCUAAUACCGGAUAGGAGCUCCUGCUGCAUGGUGGGGGGUGGAAAGUUUCGGCGGUUGGGGAUGGACUCGCGGCUUAUCAGCUUGUUGGUGGGGUGGUGGCUUACCAAGGCUUUGACGGGUAGCCGGCCUGUGAGGGGGACCGGCCACAUUGGGCCUGAGAUACGGCCCAGACUCCUACGGGAGGCAGCAGUGGGGAAUAUUGCACAAUGGGCGGAAGCCUGAUGCAGCAACGCCGCGUGCGGGAUGACGGCCUUCGGGUUGUAAACCGCUUUCGCCUGUGACGAAGCGUGAGUGACGGUAAUGGGUAAAGAAGCACCGGCUAACUACGUG